GUCUUUGUGGUGUAGUGGGAAACACACUCGACGCGUAUUCGAGAGGUCUGAGGUUCGAGUCCCGGCGAGGGCA
rfam:Stegodyphus mimosarum contig45536, whole genome shotgun sequence.